UAUUUCUUUACCCAUUUCCUAAUUCAUUUGCAUGCUUCAUGACAGUAAAUCUGUGACAACCAAGAGCUGAGUGAAGGUAAUUCAGUGAGAACCUCAUUAUUCUGACAUACUUUACUAAAAAACAUGAAACUAUCAGCCAGGAGAAAUAUCAGACAAAGGCCUUAGCAGGGUUCUUCAAAUUCCAGAGGGAUUUGUAAGGAUCAUUACAGGACAUAUAAUACAUGCUACGCCAAGAGCAACUUGAAUUUUUACGAUGACAAACAAAACUGGUAUCAUGGGUUAACUAACUCUACAUAAUAGGUUUCCUUUUCAGCUGUUCUGAAGCACUUUGUGUUCCAUCAAGUGCAACCGGAACACUAGUUUAAGUGCCCUUCCUCACAGCCAAAGGUACAUUGAAGCCCGCAUCCUCCCAGCUUAGAUUUCAAGGCUCAGCAUCACAGUUAUUCCUCUGCAAAUAUCCUCAGCAAAAUCUUGUCUCCCAGGCCCCUACCCACUAUACUUGCUAAGCAAAACUCACUCUGGUUGACCCAAACAUGUGCCUUCUCUGAGCCUG
rnacentral:lncRNA from 1 species